CCUACGGGAGGCAGCAGUGGGGAAUAUUGCACAAUGGGGGAAACCCUGAUGCAGCGACGCCGCGUGAGUGAAGAAGUAUUUCGGUAUGUAAAGCUCUAUCAGCAGGGAAGAAAAUGACGGUACCUGAUUAAGAAGCCCCGGCUAACUAAGUGCCAGCAGCCGCGGUAAUACGUAGGGGGCAAGCGUUAUCCGGAUUUACUGGGUGGAAAGGGAGCGCAGACGGCAGCACAAGUCUGGAGGGAAAUGCCGGGGCUUAACCCCGGAACUGCUUUGGAAACUGUGCAGCUAGAGUGAAGGAGAGGUAAGUGGAAUUCCUAGUGUAGCGGUGAAAUGCAUAGAUAUCACGCAGAACUCCGAUUGCGAAGGCAGCAUACCGGCGCCCUACUGACGCUGAGGCACGAAAGCGUGGGUAUCGAACAGGAUUAGAUACCCUUGUAGUC
rnacentral:rRNA from 1 species